CAAGUCGUGGGAAUCCCCAGCAAUGGGGGGAACCGGCGUAAAGGGCAGUAGGGCGUGGGUACCCACCCCGGGGUCCGGGAUAGCCGUCCGAGAGGGCGGGUAAUACCGGAUGACCUCGGGAGAGCAAAGGUUUACCGCCCCGGGCGGGGCCCACGUGGUAUCAGGUAGUCGGUGGGGUGACGGCCCACCGAGCCGCAGACGCCUAGCGGGUGUGAGAGCACGACCCGCGCCACUGGCACUGAGACACUGGCCAGACACCUACGGGUGGCUGCAGUCGAGGAUCUUCGGCAAUGGGGGCAACCCUGACCGAGCGACGCCGCGUGUGCGACGAAGGCCUUCGGGUUGUAAAGCACUGUCGAGGGGGAGGAAGGCCGCAAGGCGUGACCUAUCCCUGGAGGAAGCACGGGCUAAGUUCGUGCCAGCAGCCGCGGUAAGACGAACCGUGCGAACGUUGUUCGGAAUCACUGGGCUUAAAGGGCGCGUAGGCGGGCCGUCGCGUCCGGGGUGAAAUCCCCCCGCUCAACGGGGGGACGGCCUCGGAUACGGGCGGCCUGUAGGCGGGUAGGGGCACACGGAACUGUGGGUGGAGCGGUGAAAUGCCUUGAGAUCCACGUGAACUCCUGU
rnacentral:rRNA from 1 species